UACAGAGGGUGCAAGCGUUAAUCGGAAUUACUGGGCGUAAAGCGCGCGUAGGCGGUUAUUUAAGUCGGGUGUGAAAGCCCCGGGCUCAACCUGGGAAUUGCAUCCGAUACUGAGUGACUAGAGUAUGAGAGAGGGAGGUAGAAUUCCACGUGUAGCGGUGAAAUGCGUAGAUAUGUGGAGGAAUACCGGUGGCGAAGGCGGCCUCCUGGCUUAAUACUGACGCUGAGGUGCGAAAGCGUGGGGAUCAAACAGG
rnacentral:rRNA from 1 species